rnacentral:rRNA from 1 species
CACCUCCAGCAUUUCUAGUAUUGGAGGCACUGCCUGCCCGGUGACACUUGUUUAACGGCCGCGGUAUCCUGACCGUGCAAAGGUAGCAUAAUCAUUUGUUCUCUAAAUAGGGACUUGUAUGAAUGGCCACACGAGGGUUUAACUGUCUCUUACUCCCAAUCAGUGAAAUUGACCUUCCCGUGAAGAGGCGGGAAUACCACAAUAAGACGAGAAGACCCUAUGGAGCUUUAAUUAACUAACCCAAACUUAUGGGUACUAAACACCUACAAGGCAUAACAUAACACCAUUAUUAUGGGUUAGCAAUUUAGGUUGGGGUGACCUCGGAAUAUAAAAAAACUCCCGAGUGAUUAAAAUUUAGACCCACAAGUCAAAAUACAACAUCACUUAUUGAUCCAAUAAUUUUUGAUCAACGGAACAAGUUACCCUAGGGAUAACAGCGCAAUCCUAUUCAAGAGUCCAUAUCGACAAUAGGGUUUACGACCUCGAUGUUGGAUCAGGACAUCCUAAUGGUGCAGCAGCUAUUAAGGGUUCGUUUGUUCAACGAUUAAAGUCCU